CUGGCGGCAGGCCUAACACAUGCAAGUCGAGCGCUCACUUCGGUGGGAGCGGCGGACGGGUUAGUAAGGCGUGGGAAUAUGCCCGGUACUAAGGAAUAGCCUUUGGAAACGAAGAGUAAUACCUUAUACGCCCUUCGGGGGAAAGAUUUAUCGGUAUCGGAUUAGCCCGCGUAAGAUUAGAUAGUUGGUGGGGUAAUGGCCUACCAAGUCUACGAUCUUUAGGUGGUUUUAGAGGAUGAUCAGCAACACUGGGACUGAGACACGGCCCAGACUCCUACGGGAGGCAGCAGUGGGGAAUCUUAGACAAUGGGCGCAAGCCUGAUCUAGCCAUGCCGCGUGAGUGAAGAAGGCCUUAGGGUCGUAAAACUCUUUCGCCAGAGAUGAUAAUGACAGUAUCUGGUAAAGAAACCCCGGCUAACUCCGUGCCAGCAGCCGCGGUAAUACGGAGGGGGUUAGCGUUGUUCGGAAUUACUGGGCGUAAAGCGCACGUAAGCGGACUGGAUAGUUGGGGGUGAAAUCCCGGGGCUCAACCUCGGAACUGCCU
rnacentral:rRNA from 1 species